rnacentral:misc_RNA from 1 species
GCUUUCAAUUUAUACUGCUGUUACGCAAAAGCGUAUUUCAUGGUGAAGCUAGCUAUCACAGCUCAGCCGAAUCUCGACACACAAAGGAAAAGAAAUGCUUGCCAGCGACCCGUUCAAUGACUCCGUGAAGGAGCUGCGAGAGGUUGUGGUGCGAGCGAAGCUCAUUGAGCAGCAGUUGACGCAGAAGGGCGUAAUCUCUUCUUCGAGUGUGGAAGAGCUUCGCGAUGCCAAAGAGACUGCAGAGGAAAUGCUGCAUUUCCUGAAGGAAAUGCUCCGUGUAGUCGACGAGCGCGGUGGCAAGGUGCAGGGCAAGGUGUUUUCUGCGAACGAAAUUAUGGAGCGACAAAAUAUUGUACGCAGUCUCGAAGGGGAUGUGGCAGAAGCACGCAGUUUCUACGAAAAAAUUGCGGCAUCUGCCGCGCAGAGGCAACGAGUAGCAGAAGCGGCUGUAGGUAGCCCUGGUGAGAGCUGUGGCGUUGCGGCGGACGAGUUUAUAUCUGCGCAGGUAUUUGCUCAGCGUGAGGAGGAAAAGGUUCAGGAUGAGGUGCUGGAACGACUCACCUUUGGACUGCGCGAAUUGCGCGAAACAGGCCUCCACAUUCACGAAGAGCUGGACACGCAGGAGGUCAUGCUCGACAACGUUGAUCGCGACAUCUCAGGCGUCCAGGUGCGGCUGCGCGCCGCAAAUGCAAAGGUUGACAAGCUCCUUGCAAGCAUGUCGAACAAGGGCAAGGUAUGCACCAUUGCCAUGCUCACUUUUAUUCUCGUCUUUCUGGCAUUCUUUGGCUUUGGCUGAUCCAGCGUGAAGGCUAGGACAGGAGGGUUCGCUGUCACCAUUAGCCCGCGCGACAGAUGCAGGUGUGCUGGGGUCUUGAGACGGAGGGGAUCGAUCAAGUGUAUGUUUCCUCAUGUUCUUUGAUCUCGCUUUACUUGCUCUUUCUCGUGAGGCCUUUUCGUUUUUCUUGGAUUUUGCCGUUUUUUUUUUUGGUUGCUGAGUGUAUGCUAUUUCUACACCUGCCUCUGUUGUGCAGCGCAUACCGCGCUGAAACCUUC